AUUGAACGCUGGCGGCAGGCCUAACACAUGCAAGUCGAGCGGAUGAAGGGAGCUUGCUCCUGGAUUCAGCGGCGGACGGGUGAGUAAUGCCUAGGAAUCUGCCUGGUAGUGGGGGGUAACGUCCGGAAACGGGCGCUAAUACCGCAUACGUCCUGAGGGAGAAAGUGGGGGAUCUUCGGACCUCACGCUAUCAGACGAGCCUAGGUCGGAUUAGCUAGUUGGUGGGGUAAAGGCCUACCAAGGCGACGAUCCGUAACUGGUCUGAGAGGAUGAUCAGUCACACUGGAACUGAGACACGGUCCAGACUCCUACGGGAGGCAGCAGUGGGGAAUAUUGGACAAUGGGCGAAAGCCUGAUCCAGCCAUGCCGCGUGUGUGAAGAAGGUCUUCGGAUUGUAAAGCACUUUAAGUUGGGAGGAAGGGCAGUAAGUUAAUACCUUGCUGUUUUGACGUUACCAACAGAAUAAGCACCGGCUAACUUCGUG
rnacentral:rRNA from 1 species